rnacentral:rRNA from 1 species
ACAAGGAUUGCCCUAGUAACGGCGAGUGAAGCGGCAACAGCUCAAAUUUGAAAUCUGGCGUCUUUGGCGUCCGAGUUGUAAUUUGCAGAGGGCGCUUUGGCAUUGGCAGCGGUCCAAGUUCCUUGGAACAGGACGUCACAGAGGGUGAGAAUCCCGUACGUGGUCGCUAGCCUUUACCGUGUAAAGCCCCUUCGACGAGUCGAGUUGUUUGGGAAUGCAGCUCUAAAUGGGAGGUAAAUUUCUUCUAAAGCUAAAUACUGGCCAGAGACCGAUAGCGCACAAGUAGAGUGAUCGAAAGAUGAAAAGCACUUUGGAAAGAGAGUUAAAAAGCACGUGAAAUUGUUGAAAGGGAAGCGCUUGCAGCCAGACUUGCCUGUAGUUGCUCAUCUAGGUUUUUACCUAGUGCACUCUUCUAUAGGCAGGCCAGCAUCAGUUUGGGCGGUUGGAUAAAGGUCUCUGUCAUGUACCUCUCUUCGGGGAGAACUUAUAGGGGAGACGACAUGCAACCAGCCUGGACUGAGGUCCGCGCAUCUGCUAGGAUGCUGGCGUAAUGGCUGUAAGCGGCCCGUCUUGAAACACGGACCAAGGAGUCUAACAUCUAUGCGAGUGUUUGGGUGUCAAGCCCGAGCGCGUAAUGAAAGUGAACGGAGGUGGGAACCUUUCGGGGUGCACCAUCGACCGAUCCUGAUGUCUUCGGAUGGAUUUGAGUAAGAGCAUAGCUGUUGGGACCCGAAAGAUGGUGAACUAUGCUUGAAUAGGGUGAAGCCAGAGGAAACUCUGGUGGAGGCUCGCAGCGGUUCUGACGUGCAAAUCGAUCGUCAAAUUUGGGCAUAGGGGCGAAAGACUAAUCGAACUAUCUAGUAGCUGGUUCCUGCCGAAGUUUCCCUCAGGAUAGCAGUAACGUUUUCAGUUUUAUGAGGUAAAGCGAAUGAUUAGAGGCCUGGGGGUUGAAACAACCUU